CAACUCAAGCGGUGCUGGGCAGUGGUGAUUUCGGUGUGCUCAGAGGACUUAAUCAUCCUGUGGGCUUUGAUUGGUGCCUCCAGGCUCCCCAUCUCUGUGACUACAUUUAAAUUAGAAAUAAGGCAAAACGUUUUGCUGCGCCGCCGCGUCGCUUGGAUCCCUGCUUAGCAUUCUCCCGCUGUCCCUGGGAUUGCAGCGGGAAACCUCGAUUUGUCUGUUUGCCCUUGUGGGAUGUCUGCUUAAACAUCCUCCAGUGCGAUCUAAGAGGCCUGAUUUGCCCGUGAUUCCAGCCCUGGCAAUUCUGGAUUAUUUCAGGAGAGAUGAUGGUGCCUGGAAGUGAAAUUUGGAUCUCCUGGCUUCCAGAACAGGGUGGUUUUCUUGAGAAGGACAGGUUCCGGAGGCAGCCUGGGAAAACACAACCUGGAGAAUGAGUUGUUUUGGGUGGAGAAUGGCUUUUGCCAGGAUUUAUGUUGCCUUUAUGGAGACACAAGGAAUUCUUCUGACAAUUUAAGUCCCUGCACUGAAAGCAGGAGCCCUACAGGGGUGCUGUGCAUUGUACAGUGGAAUUCCUGGGAGGAGCAGAACACCCAGCAGCUCCAGAAGAGAAACAAUCUGAGCCGCAGUGGUUGGGAUUGCAGGUGGCAGCCGUGGCAGUGAUGGAUUCUCACCUCAUUCCUGCACCAGGGCCUCUCAGUCACUCAGGGCAUGAAUGUUGGUGCAGUUCCCAAGCUGAGGCCCAAAAUCGAUCCCUGGAGUGGGAACUUCUGCGCAGCCUUGGAAAUGGGACACAGGGAGGAAACUGUGGCC